UACAGAGGGUGCAAGCGUUGUUCGGAUUUACUGGGCGUAAAGCGCGCGCAGGCGGUCCUUCAAGUCAGAGGUGAAAGCCCAGAGCUCAACUCUGGAACGGCCUUUGAGACUAGAGGACUUGGGUACGGGAGAGGUGAGUGGAAUUCCGAGUGUAGAGGUGAAAUGCGUAGAUAUGCGGAAGAACACCAGUGGCGAAGGCGGCUCACUGGCCCGUUACCGACGCUCAGGCGCGACAGCGUGGGGAGCAAACAGG
rnacentral:rRNA from 1 species